GUGCCAGCCGCCGCGGUAAUACGGAGGAUCCAAGCGUUAUCCGGAUUUAUUGGGUUUAAAGGGUGCGUAGGCGGCCUAUUAAGUCAGGGGUGAAAGACGGUGGCUCAACCAUCGCAGUGCCUUUGAUACUGAUAGGCUUGAUUACACUAGAGGUAGGCGGAAUGUGACAAGUAGCGGUGAAAUGCAUAGAUAUGUCACAGAACACCAAUUGCGAAGGCAGCUUACUAUGGUGUCAAUGACGCUGAGGCACGAAAGCGUGGGGAUCAAACAGGAUUAGAAACCCUUGUAGUCC
rnacentral:rRNA from 1 species